rnacentral:rRNA from 1 species
GACGAACGCUGGCGGCGUGCUUAACACAUGCAAGUCGAACGGAAAGGCCCUGCUUUUGUGGGGUGCUCGAGUGGCGAACGGGUGAGUAACACGUGAGUAACCUGCCCUUGACUUUGGGAUAACUUCAGGAAACUGGGGCUAAUACCGGAUAGGAGCUCCUGCUGCAUGGUGGGGGUUGGAAAGUUUCGGCGGUUGGGGAUGGACUCGCGGCUUAUCGGCUUGUUGGUGGGGUAGUGGCUUACCAAGGCUUUGACGGGUAGCCGGCCUGGGAGGGUGACCGGCCACAUUGGGCCUGAGAUACGGCCCAGACUCCUACGGGAGGCAGCAGUGGGGAAUAUUGCACAAUGGGCGGAAGCCUGAGGCAGCAACGCCGCGUGCGGGAUGACGGCCUUCGGUUUGUAAACCGCUUUCGCCUGUGACGAAGCGUGAGUGACGGUAAUGGGUAAAGAAGCACCGGCUAACUACGUG